GACGGACAGUGCAAGCGUUAUUCGGAUUGAUUGGGCGUAUAGGGUACGUAGGCGGCUUUUGAAACCAUGGACAAAAAUGCUGGGGAAUAACCGCAGAAGAUGACAUGAAGAUUUUUUAGCUAGAGUGAAUUAGAGGUUUGGAGGAUUUUCGUGUGUAAUAGUCGAAUGUAACUAUAUUCGAAGGACCACCAAAAGUGAAAACAUCUUUCCACAAUUAACUGACGCUGAGGUACGGAGGCAUAGGGCGCAAACAGG
rnacentral:rRNA from 1 species